rnacentral:lncRNA from 1 species
CUGGAACCCUGAAUGGAACCUUGGACUCUUGGAACCGUGCAUUAUUGGAUAUCAAAAGUGCAAUGCUGGCGCCUUGAUCUACAGGAACAGAAACAAGACUUGCCUGGCACAUUAACUCUCAAAAAAAAAAAACUAUCUCAACUGAUCAACACCCUGGAAUUCACCAGGAGCUGCUACCUACUAAGACAAUUUUCCACUGCUUCUUCUCUCCUACCCGAGCCACCUCUUCCCAUCUGCUGCCUGCUGUCAUUUUUUCCAGCUCCACCCAGGCCUUGCCUCACUCUCUAGCCUGUCCCAGAAUUGGAACAAUGGCUUUUUGAUCUACAAUCAAAACCUAUCAUUUGAUCAACGAUCUGCAGGCAAACAGCACUCUGGAGAGAGGUCUACAUGGUGGGUAGGUGCCUAGCUUCUUACUUCCUUUACUAGAAGAGAGCUAUCAUAAAGUUCUCCUACUCCAGC